CGCUCUGAUUCGACGAGAGAAGAGUCGGACGUACAACUUAAUCCACAAAACACAACCCAUUAAGUUUCUCGUCGGAUCUUCUUAAUGGAUCGUGAUCCCGGACCGGUGGUAGAUUCAGCGAAACACUAUCUUAAUAAAUUCUUUCAGGUUGAAUGAGUUCACCUUCCUGUCAUGGUGAAGCCAGCCCUUUGAGGCUACUGGCAGAUAGAUAGAACAAAAAGCGAGAAGUGCUCAUCUGUUAAUGCAGAUGAAAUUUAGUUUAUCACCUUUGAAAUUUGAAUAAACAGGAAUUUUCAGGAAUAGAUAUUGAAGUACUUAUACAUACUAGAGGUCCUGCAGUAGUCGAAAUUCGACUAUAAUUAAUUGGAAUUCCGCCAGGAGCGACUACUGAAAUAUGGAGCGACACAUCGAUUUCAUGUUUCUAUUAAAUUCAAUCUUUAAUUUGUCACAUAAGGACUAAUAAAUUUCUCAAAAGCAAUAAA